UUAGCCGCAUCCUCUCCUUCUUUCUCUCUCCCCGUUUCAAUCGCAAUCGCAGCUGCCCCGCCUUUUCUGAACCGCCGCCGGUCCGCGAACUCCCUCCACAACCGAGAUUCUCCUUCGGAUUGAUUCUUCAGGGAGUUCUUCUUCUACUCUUAAUCUAUAUUGCAUUCUCUUGAGUAGCCUCUAUCGAUUAUUGCCUAGAUAUUAUAUAAAAUCAGUUGAUGAUGAAGAAUUUUAAUUUGGGCGAUUUUUGUAGAGGUUCUUUGAUGGAAUCGAUAAAUGGAUGCAUAUAGAUUAUUGGGAGAGAUUAUUGGGUGAUUGAGAUUUUCGACUAACAUUUGAAUGUUUCUUGUGAAAUUGUUUUUGGUGUUGGAAUUUAUUGAGGAAUUGUAAUUUGAUUGUGAAUUAUUUUGUGUAAAGGCGCGAUGGGGAAGGUGCAAAAGUCGGAUCCCUCCUACUGCCCCGACCAAUGCGAGUCUUGGGUCUCUUUCUCAGUGGCCGGUCACCCCAACCUAUUCCAGGAAAGUUUAUUUUCUCUGCCCCUUUUGUUUAAUCUUUAUUUCUUGCAAUAAGGACAUUUCCUGAAUUAGGUGUGGUGGGGAGAUUAGAACUUUUGAUGCAAUAUAAUGCUUUAUUUUGAUAACUUCCCUACAUGUCCUCUUGUGUAUUUUGAGUCGAGGUUGUUGUGCUUACUUAGUUCAUUAGGAUCUUUCCGUGUUUGUUGAUGAAGUUAGAUGACGAAUGUGUUUAGCGUUUUAACAAAGAACCCUUAAGUGAGUUAUUUGGGCCUUAUUUGAGCAAAUUCACUCAUACAUAUCAUAUAUGCUCAAUUUUUCUUGGAUUGUGUGAACAUAUGUUGUAUUUGACUACCUAGAACUUGCUUGCUUAUGUUUAUUUACUCCGCAUUUCUUGAGAAUUGAUGGGAUUAAAAUGAUAAGGCACUAGCCCGUGUUGGCCUUAAUUUCAUAUCUUCACCUAUAUUAUCCCUUAGUGAACCAAGUUUGAGCUUAAUGUUAUUAUCUUAUUUUUCUUGGUUUAUAUUUAACCCCAAGCCGAUAAGCCCUUUUAUUAGAUUAAGCUAAACACUUACUUGAACCCAUGGGAACUUGAGGAAUUGUUCUUUGAUUCAUUACAUUAGAUUAUUUAGAGUUGCAUUCAUUAUACGAUAUUAUUCCGAAGUUGUAUUUGAGAGUAUUCAUAUUGUGGCACGGUUAUAAAUUCAUAUAUAUUUUUUCCAAAAGUAUCUCAUUAUCUAGCCCCUUAAAGAAAAAAUAAUGAAAAGGGGCUGAAAAAAGAAAAAAAUGAAAGGAAAAAAAUGAAAUAUUACGAGUCCUUAAAAAAAAAAGACUCGUGUAAAAGAAAGAAAGUAUGUUCUUGUAUUGCAUUGAUCAUCACUUGUGAAAUAUUUUGUUGUUCUUGUUCAUUCAUAUAUGCGACUUGCACUCAUUGUGAUGUGAUGAAUUGAUAGAUUAAUUACUCGGUCCCAUUACCCGUUAAUAUCCUCUUUCCUACCCCAAUCAUGGCCCCAUCACAACCUUUAAUUAAGAACUUUGAUAUGAACGUUAAUUUCUUGAUGAAUUGUGGAGUUGAUUUGAUUUGCUUGCAAGCCUAUGUGAUUCUUCAUUUACUUCAUGUGCAUUGAGUGAAUAUAGCCUAAACACAUGAGGAUGAGAGCUUUACAUUGUAUACAUUCCACAUUUUGGUGAGGUUAGUUGGUUCUUUCAUGCUUUGAAUCUGAUGUAAUUGAUGACACAACUAAGUGACUUUUGCGCUAGUGAGUAUCUCAAUUCUUGGUUUGGACAUAUGCUUGAGCACAAGCAUGGAAUAGGUGUGGGGGAAUUGAUAUGUGCUAUAUAUGAUACUAUUUUGCUAUAUUUUGGGCAACUCUUUUAAUGCAGAAUUUUGUAUAUAUGCUAUUCAUGGUGUAUUUUUGAUUGCGUAAUAGGUUUCAUGGAGUUGACAAGUUUUGGGGUGUAUUUGGGAGACAAUGAGCAUAACGCACGAAGACUGUAGGCGUGAUCACAUAACACAAUGUGGGAAAUGUGGAAUUUGCAAAAAGGCCCUCCGAGGUAAAUUGGCAAUAUAAAAAGUAUUUGAGAUUUAAUUGCAAAGGGGAUCUAUUUAAAAGAGGAUCUUGGGAUAGAGAAUCAAGAGACACAUGAUUUACAAUUGAAGAGGGGAAGAGGAGGGGACUACCACAUUUUACCACGACAUUAUUUUUCUUGAAGGGAAGAAAAAAGAGCACGGAAGAGAGGAGAACUUGGAAGAGGAUUGCAGACGACUUUUCGGGGUGCUCUUCUAUUAUUGUUGAUCUCUAAAGGUAAUUGGUUUAUACAAGAGAAGAGCUGUAAAAUACUUUUUUUUUUAAUAGCGAGUGGAAGACCCAAAGCUCAUGAUGGUGCCAUUGCUAAUGAGGCAUCAGGUUCAAAGAAGAAGAUCAAACUAUAGAUGAUGUUUUGAAACGAUUGGUUGAAUGUUUAUGUUCAUAGGUGCUUUCCACAGUUGAUUGAAGUGGUUAAAGGUUCCACGAAGGAAAAAGUUGUUAGGGUGGUCAUCUUAACUCUUAUGAAUUUGCAACACGAAGGACAUUUGGUGCUCAGAUCGUGGACCUUGGACUCCCACAGAUAGUUCAGAACUUAACAGCUCGGGUAUGGAGUGAUGAGGUGAGUAUUUAUCUAGGGUUAGAGACUUAUAAUUGGUUAUUUAUCAUUUCUUAUAGAAAAAUAAAAAACCCUAUAAACAAGAUAUCUAAAUAUCCUUUAAUUUGAUGCUAUUCCCAUACCAAUAAGGCUAGAAAUGAAUCAAUUCUCUAUUUUCUGUGAAUGAUUUCAAAAUUUUGAGUUUUUGAAUUGUCAGAUGAUAGCUUUUAUGUAUUCGGAGAUCGAGCCUGUGAUUAAGGAUGUUGGAUGGAAUAUCCUUUUUCUUACUACAUCUUGGUUAUAUUUUUCAAAUUUAUGUCCACUUUUUUUCUUCUUUCUUUUUUAUUUUUCUUCUUAUCCUUCCCGUCUUCCUUAUCAUUUUCUUCUAAGUUGUGCUGCCAUCUCUGAGAUCGAGCCAGUGAUUAAGGAUGUCAGCUUUGCUUUUUAACUUUUAUCGAAGUAGUGAGCAACGCCUAGUUAGAUCAUUUAGCUUAUAUUCCAGUUAUGUAUAGUGCUUGCCUUUGAUAGAAUUCCUUGUGGUUUCAACUCCUUGCUUGGUAAAGUCUUGAUUGAUCUAUAAAUUUUCUCUUGUUUUGGUUGCUUGACAUAAAAGAAGGUUAAUUAUUGUAGUUGCUAUUGAACUUUGAUACAAUUUGAUUGCAUGUUCAUAGUAUAUAUGCUUUGUUAAUUUCUUACUAAGUGUGAGGAGAGAUAUUUGCUAUUCCAAAUUUUGUUGCUAACUUGAGAAUUUUCAGGAGCCUAGGAUGCUAUCAAUAUGGUCGUUGUUAUGGAGCCAGGGAAGUUCGCCUUAUUGAAUUUCUUGAUUCCUUAACUUAAUAUUUCGUUGGUUUGUGUUCUUAACAAUUAUCCUAAUGAGUCUUUGAUAUUUUUUACAUGCAUUUUGAAUUGUUGUGUAAUAUAUUGGUUUCCAGCUUGUUCUUAUCUGCGAUUAGUGUAGAUUAUGCUAGGCCUAACGAUUGAGAUGUGCUUUACUUAGGUUGAUGUUGGAAUUAGCUUUAGCUGCUGUCUUGCGCUGAUUUUUUUUUCCUCUUUCGGUUAAAUGGCCUUUUGGCUGCUGCUGGUUGCAUUUUUCUUCGGGAAGAACUAAAAUCUAGUAACGAUUUGCUGUUUGGGUUAAUUGUAGCUCGUCCUUGAUGUUGGGCGAAGUUGUUCGAGGAUGAACAAAAUAUAAGGGAAGUUUGUUGUGAUUUCAUCAUUAAUUUUAUUUAAGUUAAUUUGUUUCCGGGCUGCUUUUCUUAGUGUAAUGUGAAUUCCUGCUAGCAUUAGCAUUGCAAUAUGGGAUUAGAUUACUAUGGUAGAUUUUAAAGAUAAGUUUAGUUUAGAUUAGCUUACCUGUCGUUGUCUUCGUAUAUUACGAUUCAGCUUUGUCAUUUUAGCUUCAGUUUUAAUCCUUAGCCUAGCUUAGCUAUAUAUGUAAUCAAUACUAUAAUUGUCAUGUUGUCUGCUGCUGUACUUUAUGCAAUUAAUUGUUCCAUGCAUUGUAGGGAAUUAGCCGCACCGAAAGAAGGUUAGAGAUGCCGAGGAGUAAGGUCCAUGAACCACUUAUGAUUAGUUUACAUGAAUAUGUGAUGGGGUUUUAAAGUAAUAUUUAAAAUUCUGUAAAUUAGCAUGGUCUUUGCUUAUACAUCUUUAACCCAUAAGAAUGUUGUUAAUAGUUGCAAACACUUUUAUGUAGAUUGGGUCUCGUGGCUUGAAAAAACAUGGUGAGAGAUCAUGCUUUUCGUCCCCAACCUAGAUUCGUUUGCAUUUUUAAUACGUAAUAGCCAUGAAAUUUUAAGUUUUUGCAUAAUGUUUAAUGUGUAUUGUUGUUUGUAUAAUUGUGGGGCA